CGAUAGCGUAUAUUAAAGUUGUUGCAGUUAAAAAGCUCGUAGUUGAAUUUCGGGUCCCCGCGCUCGGCGCUUCAUUGUGCCGUCGUGGUGUCCCUCCUCGCCGUAAGGCGUCCUUUACUGUGAAAAAAUUAGAGUGUUCAAAGCAGGCAAUCGCUUGAAUACAUUAGCAUGGAAUAAUAAGAUAGGAUCUUGUCUAUUUUGUUGGUUGCGGACAACGAUAAUGAUUAAUAGGGAUAGUUGGGGGUGUCCGUAUUGAGCUGUCAGAGGUGAAAUUCUUGGAUUUGCUCAAGACGAACUACUGCGAAAGCAUUCACCAAGGAUGUUUUCAUUAA
rnacentral:rRNA from 1 species